GACGUAGGGCGCGAGCGUUGUCCGGAUUUAUUGGGCGUAAAGGGCGCGUAGGCGGUCGGACAAGUGGAAGGUGAAAUCCCCAGGCUCAACCUGGGAACUGCCCUCCAAACUGUUUGACUUGAGUCCGGGAGAGGUGAGUGGAAUUCCCAGUGUAGCGGUGAAAUGCGUAGAUAUUGGGAGGAACACCAGUGGCGAAGGCGGCUCACUGGACCGGAACUGACGCUGAGGCGCGAAAGCGUGGGGAGCAAACAGG
rnacentral:rRNA from 1 species